GGGGAAUUUUGGACAAUGGGCGCAAGCCUGAUCCAGCAAUGCCGCGUGCAGGAAGAAGGCCUUCGGGUUGUAAACUGCUUUUGUCAGGGAAGAAAUCUUCUGGGUUAAUACCUCGGGAGGAUGACGGUACCUGAAGAAUAAGCACCGGCUAACUACGUGCCAGCAGCCGCGGUAAUACGUAGGGUGCGAGCGUUAAUCGGAAUUACUGGGCGUAAAGCGUGCGCAGGCGGCUUUGCAAGACAGAGGUGAAAUCCCCGGGCUCAACCUGGGAACUGCCUUUGUGACUGCAAGGCUAGAGUACGGCAGAGGGGGAUGGAAUUCCGCGUGUAGCAGUGAAAUGCGUAGAUAUGCGGAGGAACACCAAUGGCGAAGGCAAUCCCCUGGGCCUGUACUGACGCUCAUGCACGAAAGCGUGGGGAGCAAACA
rnacentral:rRNA from 1 species